GUCUACCGCCACACUACCCUGAACACACCUGAUCUCGUCUGAUCUUGGAAGCUAAGCAGGGUCAGGCCUGGUUAGUACUGGGAUGGGAGAAAAGGGAUGUGCUUCCUCCGCACCUCCAGCCCAGGGAGAAA
rnacentral:rRNA from 1 species